AUCUGCCAGGUGUCCUUCGGCUGGCAGGGACCUCCCCAGAGCAUGAUCAGGCAGGCCACUGGCUCAAGGGCACACAGGCCCUGCAUGGGCCCUUCUAGGGUCCUAUGUGGUCUCCUACAGGGUGGAGAUCAUAUUGCUUACACAGCAGCCGAGUUCCCUUACACACCCCUUAAAGGCCCCAAAACAAAGAGCCCUCAUGGGCACCCUACUUGGGAUUCCCCUCCCAGCUAGCAGGAGCUUUACUUCUUUGUCUUUACUUUCUUGGCUUUAUAUCUUUUACCUUCUUGCCUUUACAUCUUUUAAAUAAAUUUGCCUGGAUCUUGCAUCCACUGUCCUUGGUUUCGCUCUGCGUCACCGUGGGCCAUGACCCCAGUGUUGUGGUAACAAUAAAGCUCUUCUCUCUGACUCUGAGGAGGAAGACAUUAGAGGACAGAAGCCAGGCUCCGGGAGAGGGAUGAGCAUCCUGCUGGCUCUCUGGCGGGGUUUCUUGGUAGGGUGCCCCAUUUUCUCUGGGACACUCUCACUUGGCCAGUACCAUCAAGGACCCCAGUGAUCCAGCCCAAGCAGACAGGAGCCUCCCAGUGAACUCUGCAAUUGGAGGAGGGCCCAAACACAGCCCUGACAAAGGCCAAGCCACCUACAAGGUCACACAGGCCCCAGUGUCUGCUCUGUGACCCGCUUCACAUGAUAGGCAUCUUCCCUGCAGAGAGACACCUUGGGGAGACAGAAGGCCCCACUCAGCAGCUGGGCACGGUGCCUCCAGGGUCUCUGCAGACUGGGGACAGAGCCUGCUUCUGCACUUGGCCCUGGGCAAGCUGUCCCUAGAGCCAUAGAAGAGGUUUGCAGACAGGUGGAGACAUAACAUAGAUGCAUCUGAAUCUGCAGGUGGUACUAUGACGGCCCGGAGGACCGGAUGUAGAGGGAUGGAUUUGAAUGACCACCUUGUCCUGGAUAGUCUGGGCCCAGUGGCCAACGGCUCCAUUUCUCUGAGCCUCAGCUUCUUUGCCUGUGAAAUGGGAGAACACCUGGCCAGCCUCCCUCACAGCACAGUCCCGAGGCAGAAAAGCCAGUUAAAGAUCACGCAAAUCAGAGGCAGUAUGCCAAGAUGUGGAAGACUCCCGAAAGGCACUUGGGCAAAAAAUGGACAUAAUCUGAGAAACAAAAGCCUGGAGAAGUUGAAUCAUGACCAGCUUGGAGACUGGAGGGGAGUGGGUGUGAAUGAAGCAAGGUGUGAGCAGGCUGCAAUUGAAAUGGCUGUGUGGCAUUCCUGGAUAGAGGGACUGUACUAGGACAUGCCUGCCACUGUCCUGGCCUCCCUGUGCCCUCCAGUUGUGCCAGCCCAAGCCCUGGAGCUGAGAACAGUCACCCAAUCCCUGGAAGAAGAGACUCAGAGAAUCCCAAGGGUUCCAAGCCUGAGUCACCACCUCCUUCCACCUCCACCCUCGAAUUCUGGAGAUUGAUUUCUAGGCUUUUCUUUUCUCUAAAAAGUAAUAACAAGACGUUCUCACUUGGGAGGAAGAUGAUUAAAUUUCAAAUUACUCUGCUUGCCAGAUAAGAUUGAAAUCUCUGGGUCCGGGCAGGCUGGAGACCUGUUUUGUACACAGGAAGCUACCAGCCACCGAUUGGCCGCGUCACGGGGUGACUGGAAUGGAGCGGAGUGUUUAAAACCACAUCAAGGGGUGGCAAACACGGUAAUGAGGGCAUUUGUUAUACUGCGAGGAGCUCUCCAGAACAUGGAAAUUGCCAACAUGGCGAUUAUGAUUGUGAAGUCGGUGAGGAAAAUCGAAUCCAGCCCCCCCAGCCCCCCUUCUCCACGAAGGGUGCAGGAAAGAGGAACGGCAGGCUGCUCGGGGCCUUCGAGAGGAAGAAGUCGUGGAAAGUUAUUAAACACUUUAAUAAUGCUUUAAAAAUGCACAGAGUUGAGGCUUCAGCUUGGGUUUGUGGGGACUUUGAUCAAAUCCAGCUCCAGGGCAGGGCUGGCUUCCCCAGGGGGCACCCAGGGGGAACCACAGGGAGGGGAAGGCAUAGCCCAGCUGGGCAUCAGAUUUCAAAGUGGUGCCCGGACCAUUGUGGUUCUUGUUUUCUGAGUGACUGGAAGGCAGAGCUGGGCCUUCUCUGUGUCAUCUGGGCUUGUCCUCAAACUCAGACUGGGAGCAAGGGUGUGUGUUUCUGCACGCAUGCAAGGGCUUGGCCCAAAACUGAAUGAUUAAUGUAAACUGUGGGAGCUAUGGACAGACAGGCUGGGGUGUCCAUUUUGAUGUCUCUUCCUGUGCCGGCCAUGAAGUUGCUCUCAAAAACAUUGCGCUUAACCAAAAACAAACAAACAAACGAAAACAUUGCACUCACCGUUGGGAAAAGGACAUCUAAUCACCCCAGCCACCAGUUAAACAUACUUAGUAUCUUUGGGCCUCAGUUUCCCCACCUAUAACCUUAUAUCCCUGUCUCAAGGAUCUGAUCAUCCACGUGUGUUAAGGUUUCCUGUUUAGAAUCCUGCACGCACACACACACACACACACACACACACACACACACCUUUACUUCCAUACUGUGCCUUCCCCACACAGCCUCGAGCUCCAACAGGAAGCACCCAUGCAGGGCCAGCCUCAGUGGCGUCCUACUGAAUAUUUGAGUCUGUGAUCUCAAAAACCUAUUCUUAGGGCCGGGGAUUUAGCUCAGUGGUUUCGCCGGCUGCUGUGCAAGCACAAGGACCGAGUUCAAUCCUUGGGACCAAAGAAAAAAACAAAAAAAACACCGAAAAGCUACUCUUAUUAGAGACUCAAAUAUAGGAUAGAGUAUUGUGACAAUCUAUGCUGAAUUAAUAGAAGUACUAAGCAAUCAGCACAGUCAUUAUUAGCGCAGACACGGCUAUGGUUGGGAUCUAAAACAUCCCCCGCAAAGUCUCCUAUGUGUGGAAGGUGAUUGGACCUCGGAGGCGCUGUGCUCAUGAGUGGACUCAUCCAUGGAUGAGUUCAUGCUGAUUGUGCUGUUAGGAGGUGGGGCGGGUCAGAAGUGUGUUACUGGGGCAUGACCUGGAACGGUAUGUCCUUUGUCUCUGCCCCUCCCUUCUCUUGCUCUGCUUCCUGACUGCCAUGAGUUGAGCACCCUUCCUUGGCCAGGCCUUUCCACCACACUGUUUCUGCCUUGGAGCCAGGUGACCAUGGACUGAACCCUUUGGAAUCUGAGCCAAAUAAGCCUCUUCUCCUUUAAGUUGUGGGUGUUGGUUUUUUGUCCCAGUAAUGGGAAAGUGACUAAUACAGACUCGAAGGCAUCGUUUGUCACACUCCUACACUUUUUGUCAGGACUGGAGACCCCUAUCACUUGCAGGACCUGGACUGAACAUAUAAAUGGACAUUAUCAGCCCACAACACUCCAAUACGCUCUCCCCCCUCAACGCUUUCGCUGUUUACACGGAGGCCCCCGAGGAAGUGGGCAGCUGUCACCUCGGAGGGAGCACGGAUGGGAUGAGGUCAGCACUGGAAAGGUCGGUGCUUUUUUUUUCACAGGGAGGAAACUGAGGCCAGAAGGGACUGGCUGAAGGCCACUUUUCAGAGAACUCCACAUGCAGACUCUUUGGGACCUGGCUUCGGCAGAUGCAAGAAGGCCAGGGAGGGAAGAGCGGAAUGCAUGAGCCCUGAGCUCUUUGCCAUGUGCAACUCGUCCCUUGAGGUUGGGCUCUGCAUGACUGGGAACCCAAGCAUGGGGAUCCCAGUGCAACAGGGGUUGGGGAGGCUAUUCCAGACCAAGAGCUGCUGUUUGCCAAGUUUCAGAGGCCAAGUAGCUUAUUAGCUAGAGAUUUUCAGCCUGGGCACUAGCAACAUGGCAGACUGGUCACCAUGUCUUUAUUUGGGGGGACUGUCAUGCAUUGUAGGUAUGUUCAGCAGCUUCUGACCCCUGUCCUAUAGAUACACCACCUCUCUCCACCCAUCUUGACAGCCAAAAAAACAUCUCCAGACAUUGCUAAAUGUCUCCUGUGGUGCAAAACUCACCACCAUUUGAGAAGCCCUAGAAGAAGUAAGGAGGUGGUCCCAGUCUGAGAGAUUCCCUCCAAUGACACAUUUUGGGGGAGCUGGCAGUGAGGUAUACCAGGCUAUUGGGAGGGACAGUAAUGAGGAGAAUGGAACAUGGGCCCGGAGAGGGAAGGGUACAAAGGCAUUUUACAGCUAUCCAGGUGCAAGGAAACGGACUGACUGCACUCAAUGGUUCCACAAGACUCCCUUGCAAUCAAAACACCCAUUGGAAAUGUCACCUGCACCAGGUGGAUAAAGGAGGCAGAUGGCUUCAAGCCUGCACCAAGGCUCAGCCAAUGGAGGUUUCAAUUGGUGAGUCCCUGAGCACAUGUCAAACAGUAGCCUUCUUCUGAGAAACCAGUUUGUCCACGAUGUUUCCAGCCUGAGUCAUGGCAUACAGCGGGCCGCCCCAUGUUCAUCUGUAUGAAAAUCCCAAGCCAAAUCCACUUGACUAUUUUGGUCUAGAUCACACUUGAUCAUCACAAACAACCGCCAAAUCCCUCUCCUCUCCUAUUUACGGAUGGAAGCAGCUGCUGUAUUUGCAUGGCUCCUUAAUAUAAACACAGCUCUGAUUUCCUAACUUUCUUUGGGGAAUUCCUCCUAGGCGCCCAUGUUUAUUUAUGAAGCUGGUUUGGAAAUAGAGCAGGCACUGCUGUCAUUUCUGGGGGUUUAGUUAAGGUCAGUUAGGGAGUGCUGGCAUUACCUGGGUGAAGGAGGGGUGAGAGGUCACAUAGCAGGCCCCCUAUGCUAAGGGGACUCCCUGAGUCAUCAACCCUGUCCCCACCUCCAGACAAGGACAAGAUGUCCAUUUCGAAGUUCUUCGUAUUACCUAUUAUCUUGUCUUUUAGUUGUUUCAUUUUGCUUUGGCCACUAGGAAGCUCAGAUGUAAAUCAAGUCUAAUCCCAGGUUCUUGAAGUGUUCUUUCCUCAAUUCUCUAAAUGAUUCAGGAAACCUCUUUGAAGUUUUGUUUUGGGCUGCUUUAUAUAUGUUUCAAAUAUUGUAAACUCCCUUAAAUACAUUCAGAACAUAGAUAGGGUAUAUAUCAUGAACAAAUCAACCUCAAAGGUACCAAAUAGUCCCUCCCACCUCUAUUAAAAUGCAGGUAUCAUGGGUCUCUUUUGGUAGAGGAUCCAUACUGUAUCAGAGACCUGCUAAAACAAUCCCCAGUGAUGUGGAAACUUGGAGAGUUUGAGCCAGAAUGAACCAUGAGCAAGGGCCUCAAGAAAGGAAGGAUGUAACAUUAUUAACUACUCGAAGUCCUAUGCCUGCCUUUUACGACCCACAGAUGCGGACUACACAGUGAAAUAAAGGGAAAGUCCUUCUCAAGCCACAACUGAGCCCAUGUCUUCUGGCAGCACCUGAGAGGUAAUAGAGGCCUUCUAAAGCCAGAGUCUGCGUCUAAAGGGGCAUCCUUCCUAUUGGUGUGAAUGUCAAAGGGAAUCUUACUAACUCAGUUUUCUGUUUAACUCAAAAGAGAAACUCAAGGGCCAGGGAUUUAGCUCAGUGGUUCCGGCGCCUGCCUCACAAGCACAAGGUCCCAAGUUCGAUCCCUGGUACCAAAAAAAAAAGAGAAACUCAAAAUGGUGCUGGGGUAGCUUGUGGCCAGCCUGUGUCACACUAGUCCUGGGUCACCAUGGGACAGAGCAGGCUGGCAGAGAAUAGGCCUGGACAUUUAACCCAGCAGGAGACAGCAUUAGUGUCUAAAGGCUACAUAGGGUUAAAAGUCAAGCCCAAAGGUUGCAGCUAUGGUGUCUCAGGUUGGGUCACCUGGUCUACCUACUGUACACUGCUUGGAUUAUUGCAGGAGCUUGGCCACAGGGAACUUAUUACCUCCAAAGAGAGAGGCAAGAAUAGACAGGCUGUGAAUGUCCUGACUCAGGGUCCUAGUACAGAGGUCAGAGGUACAGGGAGGGAGCAUUUGGGUGGUGUAUAAUUUUAGAACAGAGGGGGUCCUGGUCCCCUCAAAUAUUUGAAUAUUUGCAGAUCCCACAAGUUAUGACCAGAGCCAUUCAGGGACAGGUGAACGGUCCCCUGGUUAAGGCAGCCAUGGGGACUUGGGUCACCUCUCUCAGCGUGAUGCUUGGCCUGCAUGAAGGGACGAGAGUGGGCUGCUGAGGACUGCAGCCAGGAAGAUCCCAAAAUAAAGCUGCCAGGAAAACAAAGCUGCUUUCUGUCCUAGACGUUUCUGUGAGCAGCGGAGCUGGACUUAGGCUUGGGCGGGAGAGACGCAGGGCCCUCUCUGGGUGGUGCUGCCAACUCCACUGGGACAAACACUGCCACCACGUUCAGUUCCAGGCAGCAAUGUGAGGGCACCAAUGCAGAGCAGAGCAGAGAUGUGACCAGUCUUCCUGCAGGCAGGUCUGGGCUGGCCCAGCUGAUCCUGGUGAACGUGGCACUGUCUCUUAAUCACUGCCCUGAUUCUAACCUGCCCUGCUCCUCUGUGCCAGGGCUAAGAACAGCUGCCUCCACAGGCCCUCUGGGUCACAGGGUGAAACCAAGUGAGAGACCUUUCCUAUUUUUUUGAAGAAUUCUUUGAAAGAAAGAGCUUUAAACUUAUCACCAAUCUUCUGAGGGACAAAAAAGAAAACGCACCAUGAACGGACUAACAGAGCACCGAGGCCUGAGUAGACCCCAAGCAUGUGAGCGGCCAAAGCCCAGGUCUCGAUUUCCUCACCUGUGAAAUGGGAGUCCCAUUUUUCACGCCACAACCCCGCAGGGGUGUUGUGAAAACUGGGGGAUUAGAAAGCACGCAUUUUCAAGAGCUCACGCACAGGAGAAGGGGAUGGUCGUGUUAUCAUGAGAGAAGCAAUGGCAAAAAGCACCAGCCCAGCCAUCAAAGGGAUGAUUUCCACCCCAGAAAACUAAUCUCUAAUUAUUCCUUUCAGUUCUAAAGAGACAGGGGCCCAGAAGAGAAGCGCAGCUCAUCCUUCAUGUGACUAUUUAAGCUUGAACCAGGAAGGGUGACAACUGCAGGGGUGGCCACUGAGUUCCAUGGAUGGAAGCAGCACUGGGUCAUUGCUGUGGGACCCAGGAGAUGCUGGAAUUUCUUGGCCCUCUGUUGGACCCAAGCGCUGGCUUCUGCUUUCUGCCAGAACAAAACUUCUACUUCCCACCACUCUGCAGAGUCCCCAAGGCCGCCCUGGGCCAGAUGCUCCCCCAGAUGGUGAGCACAGGUGGACGGGGGCCACACCUGGCCAUGAGCUUCCAAUCAAGGACUGGGGACCAAGACAGGGGCCACGCAGCCGGGAGGCUCCAUCGCUCUGGAAGUCAUGGCAGGAGGGACAGUUGGUUAGAAGAACUUGAACUGGAAGCAAGCGAGACUGCAGGGGCAGCAAGGAGGGCUGCAGAGCUGCCAAGGUGAGCGGAGGGCAGGAAGGCUGUGAGGAGCCGGCUCACAGAGGGGCUGUCAGGAGAGCCCAGGGAGGCCGGGACGGAGAGUACUGUGUGACAGGUGGGGCCGGCCGGCUAGGGAGCACCUUCGGCCAUGUGGACAGAAGUGAGGCGUGGGGACAGGCUUUCUCCGGGGGUCUGCCCAGGAAGGGUGGGCUGCAGGAGGACCGGGGCGGGGGCCCCAGAAAGGAAAGAGGGAGCUUGGACAUAGAUCGGGAUGAAGAAGAGGGGAUGGUGACUGCCUGGGCCGGAACUGGGAUAGAGUUGGUAGGGCUUGGCUAACAAUUUCCUGGCUGCUUAGGGUGGUCCAUGCGUUCAUCAGAUACCCAGGCUCCUUGGAGCUCCCUGUUCUGCUAGCCCCAAAGUAUGGCCCCAUCCUCUUGGGAAUAAGAUGGCUGCUGAAACCCUGACUAUCGUGCCUAACUCCACACAGAAAGAUCCUAGGGGGACAGAAAAACGAGAACAAGAAAAGGAGGAAGGAAAGUCACCUCAAAGCUGAGUCAGCCCUUUGAGGUUUUCUUGGAGGCCUGUCCCAAAGACUUUUACUUUUAGCUCCUGUGGCCAUCAGUAUCUGCAAGAUAGGUGGGAAUAGGCAGCCUUUUAGCUUGGCACAUUGCUAUGUCCAGAGCAGAGGAAGAGAGGAACGAAUAUUAAGUAGGCAACUAGAACCUUUCCUUGCAGAAGGAAUAAAUAGGGUAGAUUAGCAUAUUUUCAUUAGAUUUUACUUUUUAAAUAUUAAAAAAAUCAUAAACAUUAGCAAAUGAGGUCAAGUUAUUAAGAAAACCAUGAGUGUCUUAGGCAGAUAUUAUUUAGAUGCAAGCAGCAGAAAGCUACAUGGAAGCUAUAGGUAAAACAUGGAAUUCACGGUAAAAAUCCAGGGACCCUUCAGCCUGAGGCAGGGGCCCAAAUGGGGACCUGGCCCGGGGGGUUGGUCUUGCUCUGCUUUCCCCCUUUCUCUGACCGAGAGGGCUUCUGUCCCCAGUUCCUCUGACUGCUUCAAUGUGCUCUAGGCUUCUCCCUCCCAUCCCAUCUCUUCUCUUUGUGUCUCUUUGUCUAUCCCACUUUCUCUCUUUGAACCUUAGUUUUCUCGGCCUGUGUACAUAGCAGAAAAUAGUCACCCUGCCCUGCCAGUUCAAGUCCCAACAGGGAAAGUCUCCAGGACCCCCCUCCAAACUCCUUGGGUGUCUUGCUCCUCCUGUGCUGCUACAACAAAACACCCAACACUAGAUAAUUUAUAAACAACAGACAUUUCUUGUGUGCAGAUCUGGAGGCAGGGAAGUCUGAGAUCAAGAUGCUAGCAGAUUCUGUGUCUGACGAGGGCCUCGUCUCUCCUCCCAAGGCAGAGCCUGCAGAGGGGACAAACACUGGGUGCUCACAUGGCGGAAGGUACCAAGGAUGAGAACAAAAAAGGCCUGGUCGGCUCCCUCCAGUCCCAGUACGGGUGCUGAUCCAUCCCUCAAGAUGAGGUCCUCAUGACCUAGCACAUCCUAAUGGACCCACCUGGUCCUACUGUCACAGUGCCAAUUAAGUUUCAGUGCAGGAAUUUGGGGACACACUGAGACCCUAGCACUGGAGUGAACAUAAGACCCCCCAGUGGCCCACCUGGCCCGGCUCAGUCAGAUGGGGGCUAUGUGGGCCAGGGCAAGUCCCCCGGGGAGCUCAGGGAGCCAGGAUGCGCUGAGGCCAUGGGUCCCCGCUCUUCUCACCAGCCUUUGUCCAACUCAGCCCUCCUUCCAGGUGUGUGGAAAAGCUCUCUAACUCCUUCCGGCCUCUAGAUGAAUUUGUUCUGUUCCAGAGCGGCUCUGUCAUCCUACACCGAUGACUCCAGCUGUUCUUGACACUUGUUUCUACAUUGAUUUUCCUCUCCCAAAGACUGGAAAGGAAAAGUCAAGUAGAACUGUCUUUGGCCUUGGUGGUUCGUAAUCUCGGGCCAAUAUGAAAGACAUGCAGACUUGUACUCAGAGAGGCUAAGGUAGGAGGAUUACAGAUUUGAGCCCAGCUUGGGCAACUUG